CUCCCAAGGAGGAAGGAUCUCUAUCCAGAGAUCACUCCUCUUGGAGCCCUUUGGUGAGCUCAGGACACAGAUUUGUGAGCUUUCUUUCAGAGCAGAGCAAUUGGUGCUGAAUGGCAUGGAAAAUAGCUACUGGAAAGCAGAGCCCUUUGAGGUUUCAAGAUGUGACAAGCAGGAACAACCUGAGCAUGCUACAACAGAUGAAGAACUCAAAAAACAAUUGUUUUACAUACCUGGAACAACAGCAUUAUUAGAAUGCCAUGGGAAAGAUCAGUCAUGGAAGAGCUGCAACUCAACAGACAGUCACCUGUAAAUGUAAGGAAAAAAUAAGACUCUUCAUAUAUGCUUAGCGUUUAUGGUGGAGACCUUAUGCCUUUUCAUUCUUGGGACUCAUUUUAUUCUUUGUGCUGAAUCACAGAAUUGUAGGGAGCUGGAAGGGACCUCCAGAGAUCGAGUCCAACUCCUCUGCAAAGCAGGCCCCUUACGGCAGGCUGCUCAGGUAGAUGUCCAGGAAAGCCAAGUCUGGUAGAAUACUAACAAUAUAGAGUGAGAAGAAGGUGGCCAGCAGCAUUAAAAAUAAAAUCCUGCCCACUGAAAGACAGUUGCUGCUUCUGCAAAGGAAUAAUGUAUCCUGAGGCCACGGGAAGAGGAGGAGCGCAGGAACAACUCUGAAGAAGGGACAGGGAUAAAUAAGAUUAACUUUAAAACUACUGCCUUGUUGGUAGCUUUGCCUGUUUGGCUGCAGUCCAGAAGAGAUACAGUGGUACACUAAGCAGGGAGAAGUCAGUGAAUGCCAUGGGCAAUCUGAAUUCAGGAGCUGACCCAGUGAAAAUUUGAAAGGUUUACAGAGUUGGAGAUUACUGCAAGGUUCCUACGAAUAUUUGAGCAAGCAACCUCAUUUACCUCCUACAGCUGUGGUAGUAUGCACAACACAGUGGUUUCUCCUCGGCAUCAGUUCAAAAGAAGCUCAAAAACAAAUGAAAGAAAAUACGAGUUCCAUGUCUGAAGUGAGGAGAUUAAGGGAUACUGGACAACUCAUCUCUGAAGAAACUUCAGAGAGCUUUAUUUUUGGCAGCUGGACGGUUGUUCCAAUAGUGCUGUGCAGCUUGCUGGAUGGAGGAGGAUAUUGACUGAUGUGACACCUGCUUGCUGUGUGAGUGACAAGGGGAUCAGCCAAGGCUGGCAAAAGGAAAGCUCACUCUUGGCCCAGGCACUGUCACCUCAGCUUUAGGGGUCAGCCAAGUGAAGAUUAAUUCAAAUGAUGGAUGCUGCCUACGUAUUCUGUGCUCAAACUGUCCUUCAGUUACUUGAAAUUAGAACUGCACUGCUGUAGUAUGUGCAGGCCCUUUCACCAAGGACUCCUGUCCUGGUAUGAGAAGUAAGUCUUCUCUGGAUGCCACCCUUGUUGAUCACCCACACUCAUGUCCUUCUUCCAUGCUACACACGUGGCACAUUCGCAUAUAGCAUUGUCACAGUUCACUGCCUUCCUUUAAAGAGGAAAUGACUUCCAGCAAUAAAAGUGUUUUUGGAAACCAACAAUAAUUAUCUUCUUUUGUGUUGGUUUCUUUUAGCAAAUGUUUGUUAGGAAUAAUUAUAAAUAUGCAAAGAUGGCUCAAUUUCCAUGUUAAUAUCACUUCUAAAUGACUGCUUCGUGUGUGAAAAAUGAUUGACACCUCUUUGAAUAUUGGGUGUUAGCAUAGUAAUAAGAAAAAAAAUAUGAUCUUUCUCAAAUAAGUGUAAGGUCUUCAGGAGAGAUCUUGAAAUCCAAUGUUAAAAUGGCAGCUAAAUUAGGAGUCUAGGUAGAUGUUACAAAUGCUGUGCUUUGUUCCCUUUAUCUGAUUCACAUUCCUUCACCACAAAAUAUGUCCUGAAUUUUACAGACACUGAAUGUCAAAUAUACUGUUACUGAAUUUGAUGAAAUUAAAACUUGUGCAGGAAGUAUUUAAACAGGAUACAAACUACUUAUAUCCACACGAGUCUUACUCUGGUUCCUCUGCAACUUCUCUACAGUGUUACAAAAUAAAGUUGAUGGCACAGGACCUCAGUUUUGAAGUUAAUGUUUGGUGCCUGGGACAUCUCAAAAUUCAAGAGCUGAACUUUUUGGGAUGAAAAUCUUCGGAGAGAAUCAGGCAUUGAUCUAUUAUUUUCUUAGUCAGAGCUUCCACCAUGAGGCUGCCAAAGAAAUAAAUGUCACCUUCUUCACUUUCUUCAGAUGCAGUUUUUGGAAGUGAUAACUGGAACUGCAGUCUGUGAUAUAUAAAAUAUAAGUGUACAUUGGAUUGAGCUCCCGAAAAGGAUUUUGGUAAUGGGAUGUCCUGUUUCUGGAUCCUGUUUAGGCAAUGGGAUUUAGGAUGCUCUACCUAUUAAGAUAGAUACUGUUGCAAUGCAUAUACAGAAAUGAAAUUUUAUGAUUUAGUUCUGAACAACAUUGAGGCACUGAGGUAUAAUCAGCUAGUAAUAGUUGAAAGCAUUGUUUUUCAGAGUAACAGAUUUGUAUUCAAAUAUAUGAAUUCUAACCCACUCCCACUUUGAGUGAUUUGCUAUCUGAGUGAGCAGCAGGAAAUCUUGCAGAUAUUUUUCACUGCAGCAUCCUGAAGAAGCUCAUACUAUUUUCUUUUUUUGUCGUCUUCUUGGUUUUACAGACAUAAUAUAUCCCUAUAUGUUUCUCCAGCAGAACUACAGAUGUCUCCCAUUACUUUUCUACAGCAACAUGGGUUAGAGCUUUCUCUAUAUGAAAAAAAAAAAAAAAAUGCUAUAAGCCUCAUUUUCACAGUGGUUAUAAUGAUUGUCUUCAAUAGGGCAAUCCUUGCUGCAAGCAUUUCACGACAGUCUCAGUGAGCACAACGCAAAGUCUUUUAAUGCCUCAUCUUCAGGGUGUGGUAAGAUGAUGGGUAUUACAUGAUGCCUAGAAAGAAAUACCUAAUUUUGACCUUUUCAUUGUUUUCAUUAGGAAGGAAGCAAACAAAAAUAUUCUUUUUCCUUUUCCUUUUCCUUUUCCUUUUCCUUUUCCUUUUCCUUUUCCUCCUUCUCCUUCUCCUUCUCCUUCUCCUUCCUUCUCCUUCUCCUUCUCCUUCUCCUUCUCCUUCUCCUUCUCCUUCUCCUUCUCCUUCUCCUUCUCCUUCUCCUUCUCCUUCUCCUUCUCCUUCUCUUUCUUUUUCCUUUUCCUUUUUCUCUUUAAAUAAUAACCUGGAAGUAUGGUUGUGCAAAAGCAGAAAUUUUGUUCAAAGAAAGAUUUCCUUUGAGCAAAAAGUACAUUUUAAAGAAAUAAAUUUGACCAUUUUUAGUAACUUACAUGAAAGAAAGAAGAGCUACUGUGAACAGGAAUUCUGAAUUUUUAUGAAUGCCAAUGGUGCUGCUAAAUUAAAAUUUUUCAACUUUUUCCCUUAGUUGGAUCAAAUGUGUUUAAAUUUAUAAAUUAGUAACCAGUUAUUUACAGACAACAAUUUGAAAAUAAGUCAGAGAAAACCAGUAGCAUUUGCCUCAGUACUACUAGAAAGACUGAAUGUAUACCUAGUCACAUUAAGAAAACAGUUACAAGGACCUACAAAACUCAUGCUGACAUUUAGACAGAAAGAACAUAAGCAUCUUUAGGCAAACAAAUUAGUAAGUCUAGCUAUGAAUAGUAAAGCCUCCCACACUAUCUCUGAAUCAGUUACCAACUUGCCUAGUAUAUAUCUGAUGGGCAGCCAAAUGGGAUGUUAUAGAAUGAGCAGCAAACCCUUGAAUAAAAAGUGGACACCCAAGGUGCCAUUUUGAUUAGUAUCUAUCUAUUAAGAUAGUUAGAGGUUUUUUCCUCUUUAAGCUGAUGUAACAUCAGAGAAAGAAGUCUUUGACUUGACCAGAAAUCCUUGACUUGGUUCUUAGAAACCUGAGGAGCACUAGAGUUUAGGCUGGAGAUAUGAAACUUUUUGUGGAAAACUACCACUAUUCUAUCAGAACUUAGCAAAAAAUUCAUUUUGUCAUGUUGAGUGGUGAAUUUUUUGUCCUAACACAUACAGGUUUUGGAAAGCUAUAAAGAAGAAACUUCACUCAACCCAGCUUGCUCCAUCAGUCUAGGAAAAAGCUAUUAGUGUGAAAAGAAAUUCCAAAAGUUUUAGGAGUUGAGAUUCACCUAAAAAUUUAUAUCUGCUAAGUAGAGUGAAAAUUUGAGGAGGAGUACAACUGAAAAGCAGGAACGCAAAUAAAUGUUAUUUCUGUAGAAGUUCAUGGGACUUUUGCUUGCAUGGAAGCCCAAAAGAGUCUGUAGAAUGUUGCCAGUACAUUCAGAAUAAAAUAGGAAUUUUAGAAAAGCAGAAGGAUUUGGCAAUGUCAUGUCCAGGAAUGAAGAAUAAUCAGAAUAAAUUAAGUAGGUCAUGGGAUGGACAGACUCAUAUAAUUACAAUGAAAUCAUAAUAUAAAUCAUUGGAGAACCAGCAGUGGUAAACACUGUUAGGUGGUUUUUUUUAUUGUUGUUUUUUGUGUAUGUGUGUUUGUUUUUGUGGUUUGUUUUUUUUUUCACUGAGGUAGCCAUAUUACAAGCAGGCAGCAUGAAUUACUUUAUUGAAUAUUCAAAGAUGUUUUGAAUACCCUGUAACUUCUUAUGAGAUUAUCAACCACCAUUUUCAGAUGUGCCUUAGGUCACUAAAAUGAUACACAGGACAUCAUUAUGCUUCCUAAAUGAUCUCAAUGCAGCAAUUUCAAUACAGUAGUUUGAUAACCAAUUAAGUGGCAUUCUAAACAUUUUAAGUUUUUCAUAUUUUCAAAAAAUCUCAGUAAGUGAAUAGUGCUAUGUAGUCAAUUUUUAACCCUCACGUGUAAUGACUGGUAAAGGAAGAUGAUUAAAAUCAACCUGGAAUGGUUUGGAUGUGCAAAAAUGUCAAAAUAUCAUGAGAUUAUGUACAGUCUUUAACUAAUGGACCAGUAAUUUGUAGUGAGAGUCAUGAGGCCUUCUGUUAUACAGACCUUUUGUUGAUUUGUCAGGGGAAAACUUUCUUCAGUACUUUUCUUGUAUGAUAUAAAUAAUCAUCACAGGUAGCAGUAAAUAAUUCUUGACUCUAGUUACCUAAAUGAACUUACUGAAACUUAGUGAAACAUCUGUAACAACACUUAGCAGCACUUGCAAAGAAAUCUUGUGCAGUAGUAGCAAAGGGAAACAGCAAUAUUUAGUCUGACAAGCUUUAACUCCAGUCACUGCCAGCCCAUUUUCAAAGGAAAAAAUUGCAGUCUGACUCAGGAUAAAUAUUAUAUGGACUGCUUUGUGGUAAAUCAUUCAUAAAGAAAGGUAGACUGUUCACCAAGAUUAUCUUUCUGAUUCAAAUGUAGCAAAAUGUUAGAUUUUACUUGGGCUCAUUUGUUUUCCUGAAAGACAUUUGAAUAAGCAAAAACCUGUAGAUCUCUCUCUUCUGGUUCCUUUGUUGAGGCAAUAGCUACCACACACAAAGGGACUGUAUAGGCAGGAUAAAGGCAGCUUUAAUACCCUGCACAGUUCCCAACAGCUGGAUGUAGUGUGCAGCUCUGCCAACAAGUCUGUGUAAGCCCAGCAGCACAAAUGAGGUGGUGACACACCAGCAACAACUGCUCUUGGAAUGUACUCACCAUCAGUUUACUGGAAACAUCUUCCAGCUCCACUGGUCUCCCUUUAGUUUUUGGAUACCUUCCUAGAGCCUUUCUAUUUAACCCCUGAAUCCCUGAACUGCAGACAGUCUUACAUUGACUCACUUACUUUUGCUUGCAGUUUUACUUUUCUUAUCUCACUGGGUUUCCAUCCAUAUAUUUUCUUACAGUUUCCUCAGCAGGAAUGCAGCUUUCCCAGAUGUUUGUGUUGAGUUUACACAGUUAUGCCAGGUCAUUGCUUGGCUGUGGAUCAGGGAGCAUUGAUCAUUCAGAAGGGAGGUUGCCAAUCUGACAGGUGACAGGUAGGCAGUGUGCUCCCAUUGCUCACUCUGUGUAGCUUUCUCACCUCCUGUCUUUCAACAAAAUAUAAAUCCUUGCUGAGUUAAUUAUGUCAUUUUCCCAGAAUAUUCUGAGAUAACAUACUAUCUGACGUACACAUGGUAAUAACUACCUAGAGGUGCUUUUCUUAUCUUGUCACACAUUGGGACUGUAUCUUUAAAGUAAAGAAAAAAAAGUAAUUAAAAAAAUAUCCAUAUCAUUUAUUUCAUUAUAAGAGAAUCAAAACAAGAGCCAGAGUAUACAAGCAUAUGCCAGAGGUCUAUAAUUUUCUGUUAAUUGUCUUCAAGAAUGUAGUAAUUUGUUUUCCUCUGGUUUUGAUUCCAGCGUGGGAGGUAAGGAGAAGGAAGAACAGCCUCUUUUGCGCUUGCUGAUUUCAGUGCCUGAAAUGCUAUCUCAUCUCCACUAAUCCUCUAGCUUUCACAGCUGAACUUUCAGAUCUGCCAGCUCUUCCCAGAAAGAGACUGAGAACCGACAGGAGGAAAUCGAAUGCACUUUAAAUCUGAAAUCUGUCAUCAGAGUAGCAGUCUUCACAAACUCAACUUUUCAAAGAAGGAAAUGUAUAUUUGCACAUUUUUAUAAUACCUAGUAUAAUAGGCCUUUAAUUUUCACUGAGGCCUCUGAAGUGUUGUGUUAUAAAUAUUUCAUAAUCAUGUAGCUGUGUCUCCAUCUCUGUGUACAUCGUCUUCAAACAAGCAGGAAAUAUUGCUGUUUAUCAUGCCCAGCAGCCACUUAAUAUGUGUAACAGGAUGGGCUUUAGUACAGCAGGCUAUCUGAUCACCCCUGUGGAUAAUUUACUGCUGUUUUUCUUCAGUCAGCCAUUCUCUUAACUGAAAAGGGGUGCAGGGGAGACUUAUUCCACUGUAAGGAGUGGAUUUGUAUUAGCUACAUGAAGCCUUGUUUAAACUUGCAGAAGAGUAUUGACACUAUCAAGUCAGAUGCCUGGAUGUCAAGUAUAAGUCCCUUAUAUAAUGACUGAAGCGUCCAGAAUGUAAUUCAGUACAUUUUGAAAAAUGUCAAUGCUUUAGAUUUAAGUUGUACUGAGGAACAACCAUAUGCUACAUUUAAAUAAACUUAAAAUCAGUUUAUAAGCAUUGUAUAAGGGUUCUAUAAGAAUAAGAAUGAAGGCUUAAAUGUGCCUUGCAACAUUACUUCUCUGACAGAUUAUUGAGCUGUACAUAAGAAUGCUUGUUUAGAUACGUGUAUAUAGAGAGACAGAGAGUGCUAUCCUAAACCGUAGAAGGUGUAAUGUCAGUUUUUGAUAGUCCACAGGAAGAUUACACAUUAAAUAUUGUAGAGAGAGAGAGAGACACUGUUAUUUCACGAGCGAUUUGAAAUCAGAUAAUGUCUGUAAAACGCUGAACUAUAUAUGUAUGGAGAUAUUAUACAUAUGUAAUAUGCUUAUUGUAUAUGCAUGCAAACACUUAAAUGUAUCAAUACGUAGAUGCAUUUUAUAUAAAUUAUUUAUAUACUUAUAUAUAUACACUGUGAUAUGAUCACUGCUGCCUCAGGGCAGCUGCCUACAUUCUCUAGGAAAGCAAAUUAUCUCUAGUACAAUACAUCUAUUAGUUAAUUACAGUAUUUGCAUACUUGAUUAUAAAAUAUAUAAAGUAUUUCUAGAUUUGAGAAUUCAUAGACUUUGAGUAGCUUAGUUUAUAAGUGCUCCAUAUUACCUAUGUUAUGUUAGAAUGGCACACUGGAAUGGGAAGAGGACAAAUGAAAUUAAAACAUUAAAUUUAUUACAGUUAUAAAAAUAUGUACACUUUUUAUACAACAAAUAAUUAGACGGUGAAACACCUUGUCGAAAAAUUGUGGAUAAUUGCCUAGUAGGAUGAAAACAGCUGAAUAUAAGUGAGUAAUUAUUAUACCCUGCGGAAUUGCAUUAACUAAACAAACAAUUUAUAAUGGAUAUCAAUAGUCAUUCUAUAUAAUAUAAGCUUACCUGCUUAACAAACUAGAAGAAACAUUCCCUACAGACAAGCAUUUGCAUAAUCCUCAAUUAGGUAUUUGGAGAGGCAUAAAUUUUAAGGCCAAGAGAGAUUGUUAAGAUCAUGUCACCUGACCUUUGAAUAAGCAUGUGCAGCAGAAUGCUGUUAAGUCAUUCCUGACUCAGCCCUUGGUUACCAGCUUUAUUUUAGGAAGAAGAAUUUUAAACUGUUUUCUUUCUAGUUUCAGAUUCUAACUUCUUAUUGGAAAGCUGCUGGAGACCUUUUCUUGCUAUGCUGUUAUUUGGAGUGAAUAAAGAAUCUUUUCUACUUUCAGCUCAGGCAGGCAUUUACACCCACCCAUGGGAAGCAAGCACUGAAGGAAGUGUAGGUGGAGGCGCAACCCGAUGCUCUUGCAGCAUGCAGGCAAGGAGAAGCAGAAGUUUGCUCCCAGUGGUGGGAAACUGAAAACACGUGGGGAUUGAAGUACAAGUCUUCGCAAGCAUCAUCUCAAGACUGACUGCUUCCACCACUCCCUGAGAGGCAACACAGAGGCCUGUGGGAAGCCCAGAUGCCGUGAGCAGGGAGUUAUAUGGCCACUGUGUCCAAGUGGCUUUCCAGGAUACCAGAGGGCAAUGGGGUAUGAGAUGGAGGUGGGAGGCUGACCUCCGAUCACCUCUGGACCCGGGUUGAUCCAUACCCAAGGGCCAGAUUUAGCCAGUAUUCAAGGCCAGUGUGAAAGGAUUUUGAGCUGACAUUAAAAUCAAUUCUAAAUAUUAAGACAAUUCUAAGAUUUACACAUCCUUCUUUACCCUUCCCUUUUCUGUAUGAACAGCGACACUUCAACAGAAAAUUUCCUUAU
ensembl:lncRNA